rnacentral:rRNA from 1 species
GACGAACGCUGGCGGCGUGCUUAACACAUGCAAGUCGAACGGUGAAGGGGUCUGCUUUUGUGGGCCCUGGAUGAGUGGCGAACGGGUGAGUAACACGUGAGUAACCUGCCCCCUUCUUCUGGAUAACCGCAUGAAAGUGUGGCUAAUACGGGAUAUUCUGGGUCUGUCGCAUGAUGGGUCUGGGAAAGAUUGCGCCUUUGGGUGUUUUUGGUGGGGGAUGGGCUCGCGGCCUAUCAGCUUGUUGGUGGGGUGAUGGCCUACCAAGGCGGUGACGGGUAGCCGGCCUGAGAGGGUGGACGGUCACACUGGGACUGAGACACGGCCCAGACUCCUACGGGAGGCAGCAGUGGGGAAUAUUGCACAAUGGGCGCAAGCCUGAUGCAGCGACGCCGCGUGAGGUAUGGAGGCCUUCGGGUUGUAAACCUCUUUCGCCAGUGAAGCAGGCCUGCUCCUUGUGGGUGGGUUGACGGUAGCUGGAUAAGAAGCGCCGGCUAACUACGUG